rnacentral:rRNA from 1 species
UGGGAAACUGCCUGAUGGAGGGGGAUAACUACUGGAAACGGUAGCUAAUACCGCAUAACGUCGCAAGACCAAAGUGGGGGACCUUCGGGCCUCAUGCCAUCAGAUGUGCCCAGAUGGGAUUAGCUAGUAGGUGGGGUAAUGGCUCACCUAGGCGACGAUCCCUAGCUGGUCUGAGAGGAUGACCAGCCACACUGGAACUGAGACACGGUCCAGACUCCUACGGGAGGCAGCAGUGGGGAAUAUUGCACAAUGGGCGCAAGCCUGAUGCAGCCAUGCCGCGUGUAUGAAGAAGGCCUUCGGGUUGUAAAGUACUUUCAGCGAGGAGGAAGGCAUUAAGGUUAAUAACCUUGGUGAUUGACGUUACUCGCAGAAGAAGCACCGGCUAACUCCGUGCCAGCAGCCGCGGUAAUACGGAGGGUGCAAGCGUUAAUCGGAAUUACUGGGCGUAAAGCGCACGCAGGCGGUCUGUCAAGUCGGAUGUGAAAUCCCCGGGCUCAACCUGGGAACUGCAUUCGAAACUGGCAGGCUAGAGUCUUGUAGAGGGGGGUAGAAUUCCAGGUGUAGCGGUGAAAUGCGUAGAGAUCUGGAGGAAUACCGGUGGCGAAGGCGGCCCCCUGGACAAAGACUGACGCUCAGGUG